rnacentral:rRNA from 1 species
UGGGGGAUAUUGCACAAUGGGCGAAAGCCUGAUGCAGCGACGCCGCGUGGGGGAUGAAGGCCUUCGGGUUGUAAACUUCUUUUGCUCUGAACAAGGCAUGCUAAUGGGUGUGUUGAGUGUAGGGGUUGAUUAGCGCCGGCUAACUACGUGCCAGCAGCCGCGGUAAUACGUAGGGCGCGAGCGUUGUCCGGAAUUAUUGGGCGUAAAGGGCUUGUAGGUGGCUGGUUGCGUCUGUCGUGAAAGCUCAUGGCUUAACUGUGGGUUUGCGGUGGGUACUGGCUGGCUUGAGUGCAGUAGGGGAGGCUGGAAUUCCUGGUGUAGCGGUGGAAUGCGCAGAUAUCAGGAGGAAUACCGGUGGCGAAGGCGGGUCUCUGGGCUGUUACUGACACUGAGGAGCGAAAGCAUGGGGAGCGAACAGG